rnacentral:tRNA from 1 species
UGAGCUUUAAGUUAUAAAAACUGUGAGCCUUCCAAGCUAUAAAAAAGACAUUCUUAAGCUCAA